AAAGAGACCAAAAAAUUAUAUCAUGGUUCUUUAGUUGCAGGCAACAGAAGCCAACUCUGGGUAACAAGCAAAAAGGGAAGGAGAAGGAUGCAAGGGCUGCUCAGAGAAUAGAUAAUAUAAUAAAUAUUAAUGACAAUAAUAUGAGACUGAAGACACCACAUGCAAAGGUUACCAAAAACAAAGUUAAUAGACAAGGAGAAGACAGUUGCAGCAUCAAAAACAAAGGAUAAUAUUUACAUCAGUGCUGUCCACUAGAAAUGAAAUACGAAGGAAACUAAGAGAAUUACCAGUUGACCUAUGUUUAAAGAAUGACUGAGGAUAUUCUUCAAAGGAAAUGAUAACAGCAGGCAUAGAACUUUAGAAAGAAAGAAAGAACAAUGGAAUGAGAAAAAAUAGGGCUGUACUGCCUCUUUUGAUCAAUUUGCCCCAUUCAUGGUUAUGCAUGCUGAUGGAGACUGCUUUUGAAGCUUCUUUAUUGAAGGAGCGGGAGAAGAGUAAGAAAGUUGGAGCAGACUAAGAAGACAGGAAAGAAAGAAAAGCAAAAGUAAGAUAGAGGCUCUGAACUAGUUACUGGACCUCUACCCGUCAACAAGGCAGACCCUGCCUUCUUGGAACUUGUGCUCUGGCAGAACGGACAAGCAUGAAACAAGUAAUUGCAACAUGAUUUACUGUGGCUGCUCACUGGCCCAUCUCCUCUCAUGACUGCUGCUCUGGGAACCACCUCUCUGCUCUCCAUCGCUACCACUCUAGCCUGUGGCCUGCUCCUGGUUGAAGAAGCCAUCAAUCAAAAUGAAUACCACUCUGGAAAUCUUGGGUGGCCUGACCUGAUAUUUUUACAUAGUGG
rnacentral:lncRNA from 1 species